UAGGCUUGACAUAUACAGGACGACGGCAGAGAUGUCGUUUCCCUUGUGGCUUGUAUACAGGUGGUGCAUGGUUGUCGUCAGCUCGUGUCGUGAGAUGUUGGGUUAAGUCCCGCAACGAGCGCAACCCCUGUCUCAUGUUGCCAGCACGUUAUGGUGGGGACUCGUGAGAAACUGCCGGGGUCAACUCGGAGGAAGGUGGGGAUGACGUCAAAUCAUCAUGCCCCUUAUGUCUAGGGCUUCACACAUGCUACAAUGGCUAGUACAGAGGGCUGCGAUACCGUGAGGUGGAGCGAAUCCCUUAAAGCUGGUCUCAGUUCGGAUUGGGGUCUGCAACUCGACCCCAUGAAGUCGGAGUCGCUAGUAAUCGCAGAUCAGCAUUGCUGCGGUGAAUACGUUCCCGGGCC
rnacentral:rRNA from 1 species